AUGGGUCCCCAGCUGCUCUACUGUGUAGCCUUUUGCCUCCUUGGGGCAGGUCACAUGGGUGCCAGGGUUAUCCAGAACCCAAGAUACCAGGUUACCAAGAUCGGAAAAGCAGUGUCUCUGGGCUGUUCUCAGAAUAUGAAUCAUGAUGCCAUGUACUGGUACCAACAGAAGCCGAGCCAAGCACCAAAGCUGCUGCUCUACUACUAUGAUACAAAUCUUAACAAGGAAGAAGACACGUCUGACAACUUCAAAUCCAGCCGACCUAACACUUCUUUCUGUUCUCUUGACAUCAGCUUGGCUGGCUUAGAGGAUUCUGCAGUGUAUUUCUGUGCCAGCAGUAAAGACACAGAGCUAGAGUGUUACCUCUCCCCUGAUCAUAAACCUGUUUCCCAGGUCCAAGAUCCUUCCACAGACCACCCUCCCACCCUACAGCAAUGGUAG